rnacentral:rRNA from 1 species
GACUGUUUAUCAAAAACAUAUUUAAUAGUUAUAAUUAUUAAUAAUAUCUGCUCAAUGUAUAAUAAAUAGCCGCAGUUCAUACUGUGCUAAGGUAGCAUAAUCAUUUGUCUUUUAAUUAAAAACUAGAAUGAAAGAUUCAACAUUUAAAUUAUUAUUAAAAACUUCUAUUUUUAAUUUAUUCUAAAUGUUAAAAAACAUUUAUAAAUAGAAAGACGACAAGACCCUAUCGAACUUAACUUAAGUUAAACUGGGACAGUUUAUUAAAAAUAAUUUUAAUAUUAUAUAUAAAAAAAAUGACCUAAUAUAAUUAAUUAAUUAAUUAAGUUACCGUAGGGAUAACAGCGUAAUAUUUUCAUUAGAUCUUAUAUAAAAAAAUAAUUGCGACCUCGAUGUUGAAUUAAUUUUCUAAUAAAAGCAACAAUUUAUAAAGAAGGUCUGUUCGACCUUUAAACAAUUACAUGAUUUGAGUUCAGACCGGUGUAAACCAGGUCGGUUUCUAUCUU